GUGCCCGCUUCGGCAGCACAUAUACUAAAAUUGGAACGAUACAGAGAAGAUUAGCAUGGCCCCUGUGCAAGGAUGACAGGCAAAUUCGUGAAGCAUUCCAUAUAGAA
ensembl:snRNA U6 U6 spliceosomal RNA